GUAGGGAAUAUUGCACAAUGGGCGAAAGCCUGAUGCAGCAACGCCGCGUGCGCGAUGACGGCCUUCGGGUUGUAAAGCGCUUUUCGGGGAGAUGAGGAAGGACAGUAUCCCCGGAAUAAGGCUCGGCUAACUACGUGCCAGCAGCCGCGGUAACACGUAGGAGCCAAGCGUUAUCCGAAUUCACUGGGCGUAAAGCGCGUGCAGGCGGCUCGAUAAGUUGGAUGUAAAAGCUCCUGGCUCAACUGGGAGAGGACGUUCAAUACUGUCGGGCUAGAGGGCGACAGAGGGAGGUGGAAUUCCCGGUGUAGUGGUGAAAUGCGUAGAUAUCGGGAGGAACACCAGUGGCGAAGGCGGCCUCCUGGGUCGCACCUGACGCUCAGACGCGAAAGCUAGGGGAGCGAACGGGAUUAGAAACCCCAGUAGUCC
rnacentral:rRNA from 1 species